rnacentral:rRNA from 1 species
GUCUACAGCCAUGCCAUCCUGAAUGUACCCGAUCUCAUCUGAUCUCAGAAGCAAAGCAGGGUCAGGCCUUGUUAGUAGUUAGAUGGGAGACCACUUAUGAAUACCAGGUGCUGUAGGUG